GCCUGCGGAGCGGAGGAAGACAAACAUAAAGAUGAAGUGCUUAAUUCAAGGUCACACAAUGUCGGGGAUGGACCUCCAGAUUUCCUUACUGACCUGCAUUAUCUUGUGGAUACCUGAGUGAAUUCCACACCACCCAUUUUAUAGAUGAAACCACUGAGACAUGGAGCAAUUGACUGAGUAGUCACUGCCCCACCCCUGCCUGGAGCCUCACACAUGACUCGCCUCCUCUCAGUGACCACAGGUUGGUUGAGGGGUUUAACAAGGCUAAGAAGAGACGGAGUCUUGCUAUGUUGCCCAGGCUGGUCUUGAACUCCUCACCUCAAGCGAUCCUCCCGUCUUGGCCUCCCAAGUGUCAGGAUUACGGGCAUGUGCUAUCACACCCAACCUGAUACAUUGCCUUUAUAAAUUUUUUUUUCUUUAUUCUAAAAACCAGAAAAAACAAAACUGGAUACAUGUGCAGAACAUGCAGGUGAGACGUGGUCUUGUAACACAGUGGUUAAGAAUGUGACUUUGGAGCCAGCCUGCUAGGGGCUGAAUUCUGACUCAGCCAUUUACUAACUGUGUGACCUUAGGUAAGUCAUUUACCUUCUUUGUCCCUCAGUUUCAUCUCGGUUAAGUAGGGAUAAUGAUAGCACCUAUUUUAUAGGGUUAUUGUGAGGAAUAAAUCCAAGUAAAAUGCUUAGAAUAGUAACUGAAACAUAGCACUCAUUAGGAAUGCUUUAAUUUUCAUUUAUUUGAGUAUUAAAGGUUGAAUUUUC
rnacentral:lncRNA from 1 species